rnacentral:tRNA from 1 species
GCUAGCGUAGCUUAACUAAAGCAUAACACUGAAGAUGUUAAGACGGUCCCUAGAAAGGUCCCGUGAAGCA